rnacentral:rRNA from 1 species
AGUGAACGCUGGCGGUAGGCCUAACACAUGCAAGUCGAACGGCAGCACAGUAAGAGCUUGCUCUUACGGGUGGCGAGUGGCGGACGGGUGAGGAAUACAUCGGAAUCUACUUUUUCGUGGGGGAUAACGUAGGGAAACUUACGCUAAUACCGCAUACGACCUACGGGUGAAAGCAGGGGAUCUUCGGACCUUGCGCGAUUGAAUGAGCCGAUGUCGGAUUAGCUAGUUGGCGGGGUAAAGGCCCACCAAGGCGACGAUCCGUAGCUGGUCUGAGAGGAUGAUCAGCGACACUGGAACUGAGACACGGUCCAGACUCCUACGGGAGGCAGCAGUGGGGAAUAUUGGACAAUGGGCGCAAGCCUGAUCCAGCCAUGCCGCGGGGGUGAAGAAGGCCUUCGGGUUGUAAAGCCCUUUUGUUGGGAAAGAAAAGCAGCAGGUUAAUACCACGCUGUUCUGACGGUACCCAAAGAAUAAGCACCGGCUAACUUCGU